UCUCUGUUUCUCUCUCUGUCUCUCUCUCUCUGGAAUUCUCCUGUUUUUUCCUUGGUUUGAAAGAAAUCCGGGCUCUCUCGAUCUGAAGAGAGAGAAAUCUAGGGUUUUCAGGAGAGAUGAUGAAAUUCUGGUCUUAGAAGGGCUGGCGAUGAUGUUCGUGGCUUAACGAUGCCUGCAGUUCUUGAUUUAUAUCAUUUUUGCGUGUAGUGAUUCCGUUCCUGAUCUUGAUCCUCUCCCGAUUCAGCAGCGCCCGGCAAGCAAUCGUUUGCAUUGGCCAGUCAGCAUUGUGGCAUUGUGGAGGGGAUGCGGAACUGUGAUCACUCAUGCAAAAUUGAUGUAAUUCACUGAUGGGUGUUGCAAGCCGCGUGCAUCAUCAGCAACUCUUGUAAGAAGAAGAAAGCUUUUUAAAUGCUGCCCUUUGGCGUAGCAAUACACAAUACCUCCAACUAAACUAGUCACUAGUUUGCACCGCUUAUGGCAUUCUUCACCACCUUUCAGGUAAAUAUUUCUUCCAUCUUCUUGCAUUAUAUGAUUCCAGGUGCUGAUUUUUCUUUAGAAAUGGUGGAUUAUGUCACUCUGUCACGCAUUGCAAGAUCUCGUGGGCAUGGAUUUGAGUGGCUGUUUUGGAGUGUGACUAACUAGUGGACCGAAACUAGUACAAAUCACACCUGUUUCGGUUGGUUUUGGUCCCGUAUUGGUAUGUUGACUCAUUCUGGUCCAGAACGAAAUGAGUCAGCAUACCAAUACGGCUCAGACAAUGCCAAGUCAUAUCUGGCAAUAUUUAAAACCAUGCAGUUGUGUUGUAUGUGUGACUGUGCCUAUGCUAGUGUUUUCUAUCCAGGAAGCAUUUACAGAUGCAGGGACUAUGCUGUUUUGCUAUUAAUCAGUUCUGUGAAUGGCUGAAGACUGUCAUGAGGCUUUUGUUGCUCGACUGAGGCCUGACAAAGUUCAAUUGCAUUUUGUUGCUGCUCUGUUUAGCUCAAUGGAAUAUAUCACUGGCGCAUCUAUCGGUAUCUGUCGAACUUGCUGUCAAUAUUUAAUAUUUAUUUUCUGGCUGUUAAAAAACAUCUUAUUUUGUAUACUUGAGGCACUGCGAUUCAACCAGUGAUAUGUUUGUAAGGGGUCUCAAAUUUUAUUUUAUUUUUCUGAAACAUCCAUGGGAUCAAGGGGCCUGUUUGCAUGAGAGGCAAAUCAGAAACAUUUUGAAUUUCUAUCCUGGACGAUGGAAGUCCCAAGGAAAAUGUGCUUAUUUUCUUCAACCUGUCAUGGGAAAGGAGCUGCCACAGCAUUAAAAGGGUAGUUGUUUAAAAUUGCUUCUCUUUUGUCCCUCCAUAGAUUGUUGAAUGGGGCAAACCCAAUCCAGUUGCCAUUCUGUUGGUCCAGCCUUUUUUCAUCACCAUGAAAAAAAAUAAAUAAAUCUGUAACUUGCUUAUGUUUGGCAUUCAAUGGGUCUUGCUAGGUUCCAACGAAUCUCUCUUGUUGGCAUAUGGCACAGAGGGGGCAAAGAGAAGAGAGGGAAGAAGAUCUGGCAUCUAUGUUUGCCAGUGGGAAUUUGAUCACUGUGGUCGGAAAGGGAUCUCAGCUGCUUCAGGAAUCGGAAAAGAUAUCGUGGAAGCUUGUAAUCCGGCGAAUGGAUGGCAGAAUCUUUGGCCAUGAUGCGGUCUCAAAUUCCUGAUAGUUGGGCAGAUUUGUAAUUAAUCUUUCCGUUUUGUUUUUGUUUUUGUAAUUAUUUGGCUUUGGCAUUCUUACAAUAAAUAUGACUUUUUCAAAAAAAUAAAAAAGUAUCUGCAACUUGCUGCA